rnacentral:rRNA from 1 species
UACGGAGGGUGCAAGCGUUAAUCGGAAUUACUGGGCGUAAAGCGUGCGUAGGUGGUUCGUUAAGUCCGUUGUGAAAGCCCCGAGCUCAACUUGGGAAUUGCAGUGGAUACUGGCGAGCUGGAGUGCGGUAGAGGAAGGUGGAAUUCCCGGUGUAGCGGUGAAAAUGCGUAGAGAUCGGGAGGAACACCAGUGGCGAAGGCGGACCUUCUGGACCAGCACUGACACUCAAGCACGAAAAGCGUGGGGAGCAAACAGGG